rnacentral:tRNA from 1 species
AGAGGCAUAACUCAGUGGUAGAGUGUGUGCUUAGCAUGCACGAGGUCCUGGGUUCAAUCCCCAGUACCUCCA